UAAAAGCGGACUUCCAUGCUGCGUAAAGCAAAUUCAUUUUGUUACAGUACAACGCAAAAGCUGCCGCAGUCCAAAGAAAUGCAAACGCAAGUGCUCUAUUUUUGAAGUCGUAGCCACAUAGUAGUCGGAUGUGCAUCCAAUCCAUGCCGUUGAGCGCAAGCAAAAUGGCAGCCUUUGUUUACCUGUGAACAGCUGACAGCCCCUAGCGUGUCUGUCUGAACAGCUGACAGCCCCUUGCGUGCCCGUAAUUGCGGCCCCGCCCCCGUCAGAUACUGAUUGAGGAAGAGCCAAGAAGAAUUAUCCGUAGCCCCCGAGGUGAAACUUUGCAACAUAGUGGAUCGAGAACUGUCAAGGCAUUUUCCAUAGGGCACCGCCAUGACAUAACGAUAGCUUCGUUAAAGUUAUCGCUGCAUCGGUAAUACUUCCUGCACUGAUACGCUCCGAGAAAGAAGCUGCUACAACAUUAAAUGGCUACUGGAGGUGGCAAAGUGGGUGGCGUGGACGGCCGCGUCCUCGACGUCCUUAUGAGGACAGGAGGGGUCCUUGUUUCCCCCCCUGAGUACUUCCCCGAUAGCGAGGUGCGUACAUUGGAUUUAAAAAAGUGUUGUUUGUGUGACCUGCUGUGACCUCACAAAUUUUCAGCAUUACAUUGUAACACAAUAUUGCAAAAUUUUUAAGCCCUUUUUUUUGUGCAAGUGACAAUAUAGGUUAUGUACUCUGAGCAGCAACUUGUGUACAUGAUGCGCAUUGCACACACUGCUCGCAAUGUCUGAACACUACU